CGUAACCACCUAUAUAAAAAAAUAAAAAAAUAAUUAAUUAAGACUUCAUGUAAAGAAUAAAAAAAGAAGAAGAUAUUAUUGGAGUAACUUAAUUAUUAUUAAUCGAGAGGCAUGUAAUUGGUACGAUGACUUCAUGUAAAGAGGUUGAGGGGUGAAAGUAAAAGAAAGAGCAGUAAUGAUGACAAUGAAAGUAAGAGGAAUAACUGUUACAGUGAUGAUGUCAUGAUUAUAACAUGCUGUGGAGGUAUGAUUAUAUUAAUAAUGUAAGGAAUUAAACAACACCUUAUUUCAUUAAUUCUAAGAAAAUAAAACUAAUAUAAAUAUUUUGUAAUACUUAAGAGAGCAAACCUUUCUUCCCAACCCAACCAGCUAUACGAUUACCGUACAAGAUGAGAACAUUGAGAUGUUGGAAAGGAAGAAACAAGGAGGCGUUUAGGUACCAAUCCCCCAGCUCCUCGUUCCUCACGCCCCCGAGAUAGAGAAAGGUGACUCGACCUGUGCUGCUGUUGCAGCGAAUACGUUCCCAAGAACAACAGUGGGCGUCAGCUUUUAUCCAGGAGGGAAGGGAGGUGCCAUUGGGAUAGUUAAGAGAAUCUUUGAGGUGCAAGAGAGCGAUCCUCUCUUCCUCCA